UACAGAGGUCCCAAGCGUUGUUCGGAUUCAUUGGGCGUAAAGGGUGCGUAGGCGGCGCGGUAAGUCGGGUGUGAAAUCUCGGAGCUUAACUCCGAAACUGCAUUCGAUACUGCCGUGCUUGAGGACUGGAGAGGAGACUGGAAUUUACGGUGUAGCGGUGAGAUGCGUAGAUAUCGUAAGGAAGACCAGUGGCGAAGGCGGGUCUCUGGACAGUUCCUGACGCUGAGGCACGAAGGCCAGGGGAGCAAACGGG
rnacentral:rRNA from 1 species